GUGUUAUGUCUUAGAUGGUGGUUCCCAAACCAGUCCUCAUGGCCCACAAACACUCCAGGAUUUAUGUAUUUCCCCUUUUCUAUUCCAAUGGAGAUACUGACAAAAACUUGACUGUUGGUGGGUCGUCAGGACUGGUUUGGGAACCACUGUCUUAGACAAUUAC